CCUACGGGUGGCUGCAGUGGGGAAUAUUGCGCAAUGGACGAAAGUCUGACGCAGCGACGCCGCGUGUGGGAUGAAGCUUUUCGGAGUGUAAACCACUGUUGCCAGGGACGAACAUCCUCUUUCGAGAGGACUGACGGUACCUGGUGAGGAAGCACCGGCUAACUCUGUGCCAGCAGCCGCGGUACUACAGAGGGUGCGAGCGUUGUCCGGAAUCACUGGGCGUAAGGAGCGGGUAGGUGGCUUGGUAAGCGAAAGCUCGGGGCUCAACCCCGAGUCGGCCGUGCGAACUGCCGAGCUUGAGCAUGGUAGAGGCAGGUGGAAUUCCGGGUGUAGCGGUGGAAUGCGUAGAUAUCCGGAAGAACACCGGUGGCGAAGGCGGCCUGCUGGGCCAUUGCUGACACUGAGGCGCGACAGCGUGGGGAGCAAACAGGAUUAGAUACCCCAGUAGUC
rnacentral:rRNA from 1 species